GCAAGCCACGGCUCCUUCCAUCGAUCCCUCGCACAACGACCCAUCUACAUUAAUCUUGAAGGAACCAGCUUUCGGAGCUUGCCAGAUCUAUCACUUUGCAGACCUCUGGUUUUGUACCUCGGAAAACAAAAUUGUUGCGUUCUUUCCAUAUUUGCCAAAGAAGAUUGGCGAUCCUGUCCAGGGAUGGAAGGUUGAUUUCCGGGUAGUUCCAUACCUUUGCAGCCCAUGGACAGAGGAGGAGGGUGUGUUCGACCGAUUCCACCUUAUCUCGGCACGAGAUCACAUACCGGAUCAGUUUCAGCACUACUCACCAAGAGGAGCGGGCUAUGAUCGGACCCAACAGCUGGUAAAGCAAAGGCUUCUGCUUCCGGGAACAUGAGCCGCCAAUCCAAAGAGCAAAACACUCUAUCCAAUUUUUCUUUUACCAAAUCAGCCCCUUCUCUGUUGUUAGACCAGGAUGAUGGUUUGACAGCCGACAGAAGCUGUUGCUCUGGUUCUUCUAUAUCCAUGAUGCCUUUUCCUUUCUCCUUUUGCUGUUCCGCUUGUUGUUCAGAAUUAAAGGUAAAGGACAAAAUAUCUGCUUCGCGCUGCGCAAAACUCACAGAAUCUACCUUCCAAGCUCGCUUCAUAGUGGUAAGAAAUGCCUGAUAAUUGAUAUUUCCUCCUGAAUAUAGCUUACCGAACACAGUACGUUGACACUCAUCUAGCAUCGCCUCUGAAAUUACUCUUUCCCGAGGCGGGGCAUCCACCUCUGUUCGCAGGUUCCCUAGCCUCUUACACAAUAAGGCCAGACGACAAUCCAUUGCCCCGGGUUCAUCCAUUUUCCUCCCCAAGAAACUGCUAUUUAAAACACAAGGAGGUUUAAGGAUCAGAUUCUAAGCUCAACAUCCAUGAAUUGCUGCCAACCGAAGGAUUUCAUCCCAACUUGGAUUAAAGAAGAAAACCCCAUUCGAUCAAAAUCAGAACUCAUCACCCACGUUCUACUGCCAACCGAAGAAAUCCAUCCCAACUUGGAUAAAAGAAGAAAGCCCCAUUCAAGCGACAGCAACCCAGAAGAAAGUCCGCAUAUAAAGACAAUAGCCGAACCUUUGGAUCUCGCGCUACUUGAAGCCGUCAAAAGAGGAAGACCUUGUCCUACAGCAUCAGCGAAGAAACCCAGGAGAGGGUAGGGUAAAUCAUACUGAAAACUAUAAAAGGUUUUGGGUUUUUGGGAUUCGGAAGUUUACAGGAGGCUAGGGUUUAGGGAAAAGCUACCAAAAGAAGGUAGGGGAGAGCUCUCAUAUCCG